GAUGAACGCUGGCGGCGUGCCUAAUACAUGCAAGUCGAGCGAACAGACUAGGCGCUUGCUCCUCUGACGUUAGCUGCGGACUGGUGAGUAACACGUGGAUAACCUACCUAUAAGACUGGGAUCACUUCGGGAAACCGGAGCUAAUACCGGAUAAUAUAUUGAACCGCAUGGUUCAAUAGUGAAAGACGGUUUUGCUGUCACUUAUAUAUGGAUCCUCGCCGCAUUAUCUAGUUGGUAAGGUAACGGCUUACCAAGGCAACGAUGCGUAGCCGACCUUAGAGGGGGGACGGCCACACAGGAACUGAGAAUCGGUCCAGACUCCGACGGGAGGCAGCAGUAGGGGAUCUUCAGCAAGGGGCGAAAGCUUGACGGAGAAACGUCGAGUGAGUGAUGAAGGUCUGCGGAUCGUAAAACUCUGUUAGUAGGGAAGAACAAAUGUGUAAGUAAAUAUGCACGGCUUGACGGUACCUAAUCAGAAAGCCACGGCUAACUACGUG
rnacentral:rRNA from 1 species